GGAAAGCCCAGAGUGGGAUGUUUGCAGGAGCCUGGGGAGCAUUUCCAGCCUUGCUGGGUGGGCUCCAGCUGCAGCUGGGUUUGUUUUCUUUCAGGGAUCAUGUCUGUCUGUUACUUGAGUUGUAGAAGUCGUGCUGCUGAGUUUACCAAGGUCUGUGUUGCAUUUCAGUCCGGGUUCAUUUCUCUGCAGGCUUCUGUCCUGCUUUGCUCACUGAAUCUUGUCAGGAGUAGUUUGUACUUUAUAGCUGCAGGCUUCAUUGAAGUACUUUCCUUUAUUUUGUCAUACUUUUUUAUUAUUUAAAAACGAGAGCCCUAAAGAUUGUAAAACUUUGCUUUUUUUUUUUUUUUUUUGGUAACCAGAUAGUGAAAACAUCCCCAUUUACACCUCGUGCAAUGUUCCCAAACACGAGGUGACUCUGAUUUUCCUUCUUUCCAUAGUUUGUGCAUGGGAGAGAGAAACUUUCCCUUAUUUUAACCUGGGGAAUGAGUGACAGGGAGCGCUUCUGCAGAGUUUUCAAGCAGCUGCUGCCACAAACCUUUAGCCACACGUGAGCCCUGCCCCUGCUGCGAGCUGGCUUGGCAUCCACAGAGAAUAAACCACCUGAAAACGCCCCAAACCCAGAGCUCUCACCCCACAUUCUGGUUUCAUUUAGCCUGAGUGUGUGUGAGCCUCUCCUGCAGUGUUGGUGGGCAGGAGCUUUGUGCCCAGCUCAGGUGUUUGGUGGUGGGCACGGGCUGAGGAGCAGCUCAGCUCUUACAGAGCUCUCAGUGCUGCUGGUGAGGCUCUGCAGGAGCGGUUCAGGGCUGCCCUGGUGUCCAGGCACAUUCCUCCUGCUCGGGCAUUUCUCCUGGGGCUGCUCCCUUCCAGCUGGGUCAGGUUCAUGCUCUGGUGAUGGAACAGCUCUGGAGCAAGCCCCUGAGACGGAAAGUGCAGGGGAGAAGGGAGAUGCUCCAUGGCACCUUCCCUGGCAGUGCCAGGGCCUGGACCAGCUGGGCUCUCUGCGUUCUCCCUGCCCUUGCCAGAAUCCCUUCUUGUGGCUGCUGCUCCCAGGCAGGAGUGACAGUGCUGAUGGAGAUCCCAAAGCUGUGCUCUGUCCCCAGUGAGAAAUCCCUGGUGGCUCUUCAGUCUCCUGCUGCUGUGCUUUAACCCUUUUGUUGCUGCUGUGCCCAGCAGGGCAGAGCUUUGCUGCAGCUUUGGGGCAGGGCUGGGCUGCCAGUGCUGGCUGUGGGCACUGGAGGGCAAAGCAGCUCCACGGAGCAGCCAGGAGAGCAGCAGAGCUCUGCCUGUGGGUGGCUGCCCUGCUCACAACGGCCUGACCUGGAACUGGCUCUGUGGUGAGAAAUGGGCUGACUGGAAAUUAAUUCUGUGAUGAGAAAUGGCCUGGUCAGAAAUGCCCUGAUGAGAAAAUACCCUGAUCAGAAAUGCCCUGAUGAGACAUUCAUUGAUCAGAAAAUUCCCUGAUCAGAAAAUGCCCUGAUCAGACAUUCCUUUAUUAGAAAAUUCCCUGAUCAGACAUUGCCUGAUCAGAAAAUUCCCUGACCAGCUUUGUUCCUGCCUCCUCCCUCCAAACCUGCCUGGGAAGGGUUUCCUGCAUGGAAAAAAUCCCUUAAAAGCCAUGAAAGAGUGGGAGCAGUGGAUGCAGGGAGGAGGGGAGGGAGCUGGGGUUUGGAUGGAGGGGGGUUAAAAUCCUGUCCUGCUCCUUUGCCAUGGGCAGGGAAUCUCCUGCAGGUCUGGUCUGGCACUGCCAGGGGUGGGGUUUGGGAAGGUUUGGGAAGGACGGGAAGGUUUGGGAAGGAUGGGAAGGUUUGGGAAGGAUGGGAAGGUUUGGGAAGGACGGGAAGCUGCUGCUCCUGGCUGCUUUGGCUGGUUCUGGGCUGGAGCUGGUGCUCAGGGAUGUGCAGCAGCCCUGCAGGGCCCUGGGGAUGCAGCAGCUGCAGGAAUUUGGGUGCAGAGGGCACACAGGGACCCCGGGGACGGGGCAGUUCUGCAGCUGCAGGGCUGGAGCUCAGCCUGGCACAGAAAAACGUUCAGGGCAGGGAAGGGCAGAGCAGGAGAGGGGAGCUGGUGCCAGCUGGGUUUGUGUGUGGGAUGGGAGGAGAGGACAGGACCCCGUGGCAAGGUCCCGGGCUGGCACGGGAGCCACCAGUGUCCCUGGCCACCAGCCAGGGAGGUGGCAGUGCCAUGGGGAGGGGACACUGGGCACCCCCAGGUGUUUUUAGGGGCUGCUUGGGUUUGGACAAGGGUUGGGCCAGGUCUGUGGACACCGGGGUGGGAAUUCUGCUUUUCCCUGCCUGGCUGCAGCCCCCUCCUGCAGCACUGUGCAGCUCCUGCAGCCCCAUGCAGCCCCUGCAGCCCCUGCAGCCCCAGCUCUGCAGCCCCAGCUCUGCAGCCUGGCCUGUUCUUUCUCUGUGCAUCGUCCUUCUGGUUCCAGUUCUAGCUGCACUCGUAGAGUUGCCUUCCUUUGACCGAAUGUUGGAAUGUGAAAUAUUGUAUAUUUUAAAGUAUUUACCCUAUUUAUAUACUGUAUGUUACUGUUAAAUAAAUAUAAAUUCCAUUACCCGCGGGGAGU
ensembl:lncRNA